rnacentral:rRNA from 1 species
AGAGUUUGAUCCUGGCUCAGAACGAACGCUGGCGGCAUGCCUAACACAUGCAAGUCGAACGAGACCUUCGGGUCUAGUGGCGCACGGGUGCGUAACGCGUGGGAAUCUGCCCUUAGGUUCGGAAUAACAGUUAGAAAUGACUGCUAAUACCGGAUAAUGUCUUCGGACCAAAGAUUUAUUGCCUAAGGAUGAGCCCGCGUAAGAUUAGCUUGUUGGUGAGGUAAAGGCUCACCAAGGCGACGAUCUUUAGCUGGUCUGAGAGGAUGAUCAGCCACACUGGGACUGAGACACGGCCCAGACUCCUACGGGAGGCAGCAGUGGGGAAUAUUGGACAAUGGGCGAAAGCCUGAUCCAGCAAUGCCGCGUGAGUGAUGAAGGCCUUAGGGUUGUAAAGCUCUUUUACCCGGGAUGAUAAUGACA